UACGAAGGGGGCUAGCGUUGCUCGGAAUCACUGGGCGUAAAGGGUGCGUAGGCGGGUUUUUAAGUCAGGGGUGAAAUCCUGGAGCUCAACUCCAGAACUGCCUUUGAUACUGAAGAUCUUGAGUUCGGGAGAGGUGAGUGGAACUGCGAGUGUAGAGGUGAAAUUCGUAGAUAUUCGCAAGAACACCAGUGGCGAAGGCGGCUCACUGGCCCGAUACUGACGCUGAUGCGCGAAAGCGUGGGGAGCAAACAGG
rnacentral:rRNA from 1 species